rnacentral:lncRNA from 1 species
UAGAGAAGGAAGUGUUGGAGGACAUUUUGAAUCAAAUAAAAAUCUUAAAAAAUUCCCAAAAAAAUUGAGAAAAAUAGAAAACAAGGCGCUCACGAAGAAACCGAACGAGCAGAAUGCAGAGGAGAAAUGAAAGAACAGCAAGACAAAGAAGGGUUCUGAAACUAACCUAAGCUGCUCCGAGAGGUGCAAGAGGGCAGCGA